ensembl:lncRNA
GCCGUCCUCUGGGUGGGCAGGAUUUACCCCUGGCUUUCUGCUGGACUCUGCUCAGGGUUGUCUGGACUAUUUUCUGGGUCAGGGGAGUGGGGUCUUCUGGCCGGGAUGCUUUACACUCUCCAAAGCGUAGAUUUUACUUGCAUCUUGUGUUAAUAUUAACACACUGCUUUCUUGAGACUAAACAAUCAGUGUUCUUAAAUCUAACCUUCAGCCUGCUGAUCUCUCAGGAAUGCUGCCACAUUACAUUUCACAGAUGUGACUGACAAGUCAUAGUUAGAACCCUCCCACUUAGAGUUUAAAACUGAGCUGACAGAAGUGUGAAAUCAGACGAAACACCAACGGUCUGAAGCAGGUUUUUUCUUCUCCAUCACAUCUGUGAAGAUGCAGCAAUCUAAUCCCUGCAGGAUCCUCCAGGCUGUCUUGGAGCCUCUGGAGAACGGGCUGCUGUCCUUCAACCGCCUGUCAGAGAUGCUCCUCAGUAUGAAUGCAGACAUCAUCUAUCGUAGAUGUCAGACCUUUGAUGAUUUCAGACAAGAAGUUCAGAAAAUGGAGAAACACUUGAACGAGUCAGAGCAGAGAGCCGGUGAGGAGUUAGAGCAGCUUGAUGAGAAGACUGAGACUCUCACUGUAGACAAAUUUAAUUUAGAGAGAAAGAGAAAGCAGCAAGAGGCUGAGUUAGCACGUUUGAAGACCUGUGUGGACUCACACAAGUCCACUUUAAAGCAUUGCACUGAAGCUCGAGAUGCUGAGAAGAGAAACCUCGAAUCUGCAAAGAAGACCCUGAAAGAAAUGGAAGACAGAGUAGAUCAUGCAGAGACUGUCGGAAAUGUUGGACUUGCUCUUUUUGCUGUGCCAAUAUUUGGAUGGAUUGCUGGAGGAAUCAUGGUUGGUGUUGGCAGUGCGAAUGCAAACUCAGCCAGGGAUGACGUGAUAAAAGCUCAAGAGGAGGUAGAGAAAUGCAACUCUCAGAUUCAAGUUUACACUAAAAAAGUCUCUCACUACAAUGGGUUAAUCGCUAAAGCUGAAGAGGAAAUUAAGAAUGUUAACAGCAGAAUUUGUGCGACUAAAGCAGAACUGGAGGCUUUGGCUGUGAAGCGGAAAACUGUUGCAGACCUUCAGAGUCAAACUAGAAGCGUUGUCCAUAAUCUGGGGCUUCUCUCUGGAGAGGGGAGUGCAGUUGAGUUGCAGACCAGACAUCAGAUCCUGGUCCAGACCAUUAUGAGGGUGAUGGAUGAGUUGACACCAGUGCUGACCCAGAUUAUAGUAGAUGAUCUGCUGCCCACUGAAGGCUUGAAAAGAAUUAUGGAGGAAAUGAAAACCAACAACAGAAAACUUAAAGAAAGUCUGAGUGAAGAAAGUAAUGAUUAUUACUGAAGUGUACAUGUAUGUCAAAGUUUUCCAUUUCCUUUGAAUUAGUUUUCUGUGCUUUUUUUUUCUUUCCAGGCUUUUAAUUUUUGUCAACCCACAGUGUAUGGAAUAAGGUUAAAUCUAUAUUUCCCAACAUGUGUGAAAAUGUGUUUAUUAGAAAACUCAACAGUGUUUUGUACAAAUGUUAAGAAUCUACUGGAAGUUUUCUUUAUAUCCUCUUUACUAUACUAUUCACAUAUAAAGUUUGAAGCUCAUCUUUACUGUGAUUUUUUUUUUGUUUUUCAAUUUGCUUCCGGUAAUAAAAACCUCUGACAGAAAUUUUAAAAGUGUUUCAAAUAUUUCUUCAAAUUCAUAUAAUGCUCUUUGUCUGUUUCAUGUAAUAAAAUACUUCUGUCAAUGACUUUUUGAAUCAACAGCAGUGUGAUCUUAUCAGCCUUUUAUUCAAAGGAAAAACACAAGCAACUUGUAUAUCAUCUAUAACUAGUAUGAGUAAAACAUGUCUCUUUUCUGGACUGGCAGUUAUGUGUGUUAUUCUGUGGUUGCUCAUAACCAUAAUUAGAAGAGUCAAAGUUCCUUGUGCAUGCUCAGCUGUUUGCUACAAAUAGUCUGUGAGGCGAGGAGAAGUUCUGAGUCCAUAAAAGAUUUAUUUCAUGUGGUCUCAGUUAAGUCUACAGUAGAGAUGCCGUAUCAAUCUCUACUGUUUGACACCAAGGCAUGGUCAAACAAUU